rnacentral:lncRNA from 1 species
AAGCCGUUCAUGGGCGAUCUAUCUCAUCAUGCAAACACCUCCCAUCAGGCCCGACCUCCAGCACUGGAGACUACAAUUCAACCUGAGAUUUGGGCAGGGACACACAUUCAAACUAUAUUACUUUCUUCCCGGCAAGAAGCAGAGCGGGAAAUGAGCAGGGUCUUGACCUGGAAGAUGGCUGGGGUUUGCACAGCUGGAGCAGACGAGGAGAACCUUCUCCCAGGGGUGGCACCUGCCUCCUGCUCUCAGUUCUCUCUUCUUCCAGGUAAGAAGAUGGUAUUGUAGUAGCCUCCACUGGGUGGACUUCUGGAAGGCGCAAGCGGCCCCUGAAGGGCCCUGGAGCCAUUUUAGAAUCGCUCAUAAUAAAACUGGAUGGAAACACAACAGAGUAUGUAAUUGAGUUCCUCGACUUCACAGAUGAGGAGACCGAGGGCCGUUCAACUAAGAUCACGCGGGUAGAAAGUGGCUGUCUUGUGGCUGUCCCGUGAUUCAACAUAGAUUUUUGGCAUCUAGUUUGGUGGCUUUUUUUUCUACCACACUUCUCAUCUGCCUUACGCCCGGCAGCCCUGAGCCUGACACGCCUACAGACUGAAGGAUGGAGGAGAGACAGGCUUGCAUCCUGCAGAGUCUAGCAGAGGCCCUGGGUCACUUUGCUUCCCAGAGGCACAUCCGAUUUCCCAUACUUGUUGUAAGAGAAACUAAAGUCGUCCAGUUCCAGUGGUGCUUCAGAGCCCAACAGACUCCCCCAGCGUGGCCAAUAUUCAGCUGGCCUGGGAUCUUCUGGGCGGUGCCACUGUGCUAGGCUGCAGACCUGACUUUUUGGCCGAAAAGACAAAAGAUGGUCUCUUCCACUCAUUAGUUAUGAGAGUUCUGACAACCCAUGUAACUUCUAUGAGCCCCCGUGUUCUUAUCUGUACAAUAAUCUAUACUCUUCUUACAUCAAUUAGUCGCUAGAACAAAAAUAAAAUGUCUGCUAUGAAAAGUCCAUA